rnacentral:rRNA from 1 species
UACGUAGGGUGCGAGCGUUAAUCGGAAUUACUGGGCGUAAAGCGUGCGCAGGCGGUUUGUUAAGACAGGUGUGAAAUCCCCGGGCUUAACCUGGGAAUGGCGCUUGUUACUGGCAGGCUAGAGUGUGUCAGAGGGAGGUAGAAUUCCACGUGUAGCAGUGAAAUGCGUAGAGAUGUGGAGGAAUACCGAUGGCGAAGGCAGCCUCCUGGGAUAACACUGACGCUGAGACGCGAAAGCGUGGGGAGCAAACAGG